CAGCACAAUGUCCCAGUCAUGCAUAUACAUACCUAUAUUUGUUUUCUUUUUUUUCAUUAAAGUAAACCAUUAAAAUUUAAAACUAUUAGGGGUGAAAUUGGAAGGUCAAAUUAUAUGUACAUAUAAAAUGUUGAGAUAUGAAAUAAUUCAAUUUCCUGACAGGAUAUUACGAGAAUGCUCUUUUUUCUUACAACAACCAGGUUAAUCAUCAUAAUUUUCACUUCCAGAUCAGUGGAAUCAUUGUUAUGAUUCCUAGUGGAAGCAUUCCUCACUUUGGAACUAAGAUCUCUAGGCCAACAGAGAGUGCUUCAGGACGGUGGUAAGACCAGAGAACUUUGUGAGCCUGGACCCACUGCUGCACUUCCUUUCCUGGAAACAAAGGCUGCCACCAUGCUCCGCCAUUGCCUGCCGCGCACAGUGGGGUGUCGCUCCAGGACCUCGCUUCAGACGUGAUUUGGCUCCAGCAUGAACUGCCCGAGGUGCUCUACGAUCUGUGCGCUGGAUGGAAGCGAACCUUUCUCUAGAGGCUAUUACGGCUUGUCUAAAACGCUCCUCCGGCAGCCUCUCCACGCGGCACUUGACCUCUCUGUUACUCCUGACCCUGGUGCACUCAAGGUGAGAACGUGUAGGUCUUUCUGUUACUUCCGGUUGCAAAGACUGAAUUUCAUAGCUCUCCUCCUUUAGAGAGAAAUUCUUAGCUUCUCUUCUGGACUUCCAACCUGUAGGAUAACAAGAAGGAAAACAGUAUUUUCAUGUUGCAGAAGAAGGAAAAGUUCUAAGGUAGGAAUAACAAACUAGAAACAGCGAAUAAUUUAAAUAGCUCUUAACACUGCACUGCAAUUUGAAAAAAGGGGAAUUGGGAAAAUAAUAAAGAAGGUGAAGGGAGCUUGUGAAGGAAGUGAUUCUUUCAUCUCUGGUGAGAAUCUGAGUCAGCUGGGGACCCUGUUAAAAAAUACGAUUUCCAGACACUACUCAGCCAUGAAAAAAAAAAAAAAUGCCAUUUGCAGCAACACGUAUGGACCUAAAGAUCAUCAUUCUAUGAGAAGUGGCCGGAAAUAGAAAAAUACCAUAUGACAUUAUUCACAUGUGGAAUCUAAAAAAUAAAUAAAUAAAAUAGAACAUCUGAUGUCCAGGAACCACCAAAGACUAAGUAAACGGGAAUCUAAAGGAGCAGGACGUUGUAUCUAACAGCAGUCCUCUCACGUGCAGCCUCAAAUAGAGCCAGACUUUGCCUCCUUCUCUCUGCUACUAACUCUAGUGGAGUCACUUUGUCCAAAGCCAUCCCUCACCAAGAUUAACAAAACACUAUCCUCAUGCAUCUCCCUGC